rnacentral:rRNA from 1 species
UACAGAGGUCCCAAGCGUUGUUCGGAUUCAUUGGGCGUAAAGGGUGCGUAGGCGGCGCGGUAAGUCGGGUGUGAAAUCUCGGGGCUUAACUCCGAAACUGCAUUCGAUACUGCCGUGCUUGAGGACUGGAGAGGAGACUGGAAUUUACGGUGUAGCGGUGAAAUGCGUAGAUAUCUGGAGGAACACCGGUGGCGAAGGCGGCGUCCUGGACCAAUACUGACACUGAAACGCGAAAGCCAGGGGAGCAAACGGG